UAGGGAAUCUUGCGCAAUGGGCGAAAGCCUGACGCAGCGACGCCGCGUGCGGGAAGAAGGCCUUCGGGUUGUAAACCGCUUUCAGGAGGGACGAAGCCACUCGGGUUAAUAGCCCAGAGGGUGACGGUACCUCCAGAAGAAGCCCCGGCUAACUACGUGCCAGCAGCCGCGGUAAUACGUAGGGGGCAAGCGUUGUCCGGAUUUAUUGGGCGUAAAGAGCGUGUAGGCGGCCAGAUAGGUCAGCUGUGAAAACUCGAGGCUCAACCUCGAGAUGUCGGCUGAAACCAUCUGGCUAGAGUCCGGAAGAGGAGAAUGGAAUUCCCGGUGUAGCGGUGAAAUGCGCAGAUAUCGGGAAGAACACCCGUGGCGAAGGCGGUUCUCUGGGACGGUACUGACGCUGAGACGCGAAAGCGUGGGGAGCGAACAGGAUUAGAUACCCUGGUAGUCCACGCCGUAAACGAUGGGAACUAGGUGUGGGCGGUGUCGACUCCGUCCGUGCCGAAGCUAACGC
rnacentral:rRNA from 1 species